GCUGUGGUAGUAGUAGGGAGAUGUAAGCUUGCCCUAAGUUGGCCAGGGUAAGUAUUCUGGUUUCUCAGGUGAUGGGUGGGGCCAUAAAGUUCCCAAGAGUUUCUAUCUUUUGUGUUCGGCUACCAGGGUUGGUAGAGAAAAAAUAUCAGGUUGGGGCAGGGUUACAUGGGUCUGGGCUUAGACUGUCCUUGGGUGGGGAUUGCCAUGGCUGCUGUGUGGGAUAGGGGGUGGUUCUCAGGCCAAUGGUGUUGUGUUGCAGAGGGGAUUAUGGCUGCCUCUUCUGUGUCAUAUAGUUUGCCAGGGAAGUAGGGGAUAGCCAGUAGUGAAAGGCCUCACCCAGCUGUCAUGCAGUUGGUGAGUCUGGUCUUACUCCUCUAAUGCCCUGCUCAGACCUUGUCCCAGGCUGUAAGCUUUCCCACUGAGAAAGCAAGCACAGCUUUCCCUGUCUGUCCACAAUAUUGUUGUUGGCUCCUGUGCUCAUAUCUACAGCAGUUUUGCCCCCCAGUUUGCCCCCCAGAUUCUGUUCA
rnacentral:lncRNA from 1 species